UACGAAGGGGGCUAGCGUUGCUCGGAAUCACUGGGCGUAAAGCGCACGUAGGCGGCUUUCUAAGUCAGGGGUGAAAUCCUGGAGCUCAACUCCAGAACUGCCUUCGAUACUGUUUGGCUUGAGACCGGAAGAGGUAAGUGGAACUGCGAGUGUAGAGGUGAAAUUCGUAGAUAUUCGCAAGAACACCAGUGGCGAAGGCGGCUCACUGGCCCGUUACCGACGCUCAGGCGCCGACAGCGUGGGGAGCAAACAGGGAUUAGAAACCCCGA
rnacentral:rRNA from 1 species